UGGGGAAUAUUGCACAAUGGGCGCAAGCCUGAUGCAGCCAUGCCGCGUGUGUGAAGAAGGCCUUCGGGUUGUAAAGCACUUUCAGCGGGGAGGAAGGCGGUGAGGUUAAUAACCUCAUCGAUUGACGUUACCCGCAGAAGAAGCACCGGCUAACUCCGUGCCAGCAGCCGCGGUAAUACGGAGGGUGCAAGCGUUUAUCGGAAUUACUGGGCGUAAAGCGCACGCAGGCGGUCUGUCAAGUCGGAUGUGAAAUCCCCGGGCUCAACCUGGGAACUGCAUUCGAAACUGGCAGGCUAGAGGCUUGUAGAGGGGGGUAGAAUUCCAGGUGUAGCGGUGAAAUGCGUAGAGAUCUGGAGGAAUACCGGUGGCGAAGGCGGCCCCCUGGACAAAGACUGACGCUCAGGUGCGAAAGCGUGGGGAGCAAACAGG
rnacentral:rRNA from 1 species